ACGGUAGCUCAUCUGGUAGAGCAUCGGACUGUUAAUCCGACGGUAGUGGGUUCGAAUCCCACUCGUUGUUC
rnacentral:tRNA from 1 species